GCGUCCCAUCAAAGAGGCAGCCUCAUACGGUUAUGCAACAUCAUUGAUGAAGGCCCUUCAGGAAAGCUACACCCAUUCACCUGCAGCUCUUCGAGAGACAAGUCCAAUGAUUUAGUUGUAAGUAUUUAUUUUAGUUGUUAUUUAUCUUCUUUCCUUCUGUCCCUGUCAUCUCAUUUGGUGGUGGUUUCCUGUAUUCUGCAUGUUUUGUGUGUUGUUGCUUUGGUUUUACUUUGCACUUUUUUUCAUCUUUGUAAGUGGCAUUAAUUGUCGCUGUACCCCAUUCAAGGGGUCCUGCAUGCUGCAUGUCUGCUCCUCUGUCUGUUAUUUGCAUGAAAUUUGUUUUAUGUAAUUCAAAAUAAUUUACCAAACAUUUUACCUGUGCCUUGUCAACCUCUGUGUGCGGUGUUGUCUGGGUUCACUGUGUGUCAGCUUGAUAUGCUUUUGCAUGGAUCACUGCAUAUGCAUUCAUGAAAGAGUGUGAGUGUGUGUGAGUGUGUGUGAGUGUGUGUGACUGUGUGUGAGUAAGUGAGUGUGAGUGAGUGCGAGAACCAUCAGUUGACCCUCAGGUAAGACCACACUUUUGCAGGCAAAAGAAACAAUGUGCAAAGGUUUCAGGUCUAGCCCUUCAUCAGUGGGCUUUUUUAUAUAGAUUUGUUUACUUGCAACCUGUGUCUUUGUUCAGUAAUCCUUGUCCUUGUUCAGUAAAUGUUUAGUAACCCUUACAAGCAAUGCCAAUAAACUGUUUUUUCUUAUUAAAAUUCAUGUGUUCUGUGUACUUUAUAACAUUUUAAGGGCAAUUGGGCGAUCACAACAGAAUAAACAAUUAUUUUUAUUCAUUCUCAUCCAAACGAGGCCAUUGAAAGCCCUGAUAGGUUUGGUCACCACUUUGGAAGUUUUGUCUGAUGGUUGAAACCACACAAGAGGGUAGAGGCUUCCUUAUACUCCUCCCUAAAACUCCAUAAGCCCAGCGUAUAGCCUGCCUGUACGCAGUGUACCGGUAUUGCCUAG